rnacentral:rRNA from 1 species
UGGGGAAUAUUGCACAAUGGGCGCAAGCCUGAUGCAGCCAUGCCGCGUGUGUGAAGAAGGCCUCGGGUUGUAAAGCACUUUCAGCGAGGAGGAAGGUGGUGAGCUUAAUACGCUCAUCAAUUGACGUUACUCGCAGAAGAAGCACCGGCUAACUCCGUGCCAGCAGCCGCGGUAAUACGGAGGGUGCAAGCGUUAUCGGAAUUACUGGGCGUAAAGCGCACGCAGGCGGUUUGUUAAGUCAGAUGUGAAAUCCCCGGGCUCAACCUGGGAACUGCAUUUGAAACUGGCAAGCUAGAGUCUCGUAGAGGGGGGUAGAAUUCCAGGUGUAGCGGUGAAAUGCGUAGAGAUCUGGAGGAAUACCGGUGGCGAAGGCGGCCCCCUGGACGAAGACUGACGCUCAGGUGCGAAA